rnacentral:lncRNA from 1 species
UUCAGGUCUAAAUGCUAUGAUCAUCAGACGCUAUUAUGACCCAAGAGCAUGAACAUGAAUCUUCAUUAGUUGAACAAACUACGCUAACACGUAUAUCAGAAAUGACCGUUAGAGAUCACGAGUUUAACCGAGGGAAAGGAAGCAUACCAAAGUAUGGAACAUUAAGAAAAUUGAAUGAUAUACCAAGGGGUGUUCGGCCAGUUAAGUCACUUUACAGAGUUGAUGAGUCCACUGAGACUAUAUUUUGAGCAAACUCACAAAUUAAAAUACAGCGCAACAGUUACGCUGUAUACAGUGGAUUGAAAUUGAUAAAUUAUAACAAGAAAAUGUUCGGCUGCGAUUAAAUCCGUCUUCUCUGAAAAUAAACAAGCAUAAUUAUGAUGUUUUCUGUUGAUUGCCACCACAAAUUUAAAUGCCAAAUCUACUGUUUUCAAUUUUGCCUUAAUAAAAUUGCUUGUGUCCAAGAUUACAUCUUUUUGGAUACCGUGCAACUUGGA